UGCUGCUUCCCUCCUUUAUGGCUCACACAGCCCAUAUCCGGCUGUUUAUGAACGAGAUUCCCUCUGUGCCCAGCGUCGUGCUUGAUGACAGGACACUGCACAGAGAAGUCUGAACAGAGGCUCCUGCCCUCAUGCAGCCACUUGUAGCCAGAACAGGCACCUGGCCAAAGAUCCUGGGCGUGGCUUUCUCCAUAACCAUCGCCCAGCACAUCCACCGGACUGGUAAGAAGUAGGAUGCGUGUGUGGGCUGGCUGGAGUGUCCCCACAAGCCACUCUCCACUCCUCGCUCCUCUACUGGAUGCUCUGUGGAGGCAGAGGAUUUGGGCUUUGUGUUGCCAGCCUGCAUUCUCCAGAUAUGACCCCUGCGCCCACCCACCCCUCCCUCAGCCACAGCCUUCUCAGUGGUGGAGGGGUGGGGAGGAGUUGUCGGCACACGGAAACCUGGGGCACGGGGCACCUGGAUGCCUGCAUCUGUGUCUGUAUAUUUGCCAGAGAUGAUGGGGUGGGCUGGGGGUGUGCUCUGGAAGAACCCCCCGGCACUGAUGGGUGUCUGUCCCCUGCCCUUCCUCACACUGACACUUUGUCCCCCCAUGGGGUAGGGAGCACAGUGCUUCCACCUGUGGAGAGACUACCCUCGGGGAGGCUGCUGCCGUCCGUGGCCACCGUGGGGGAGUUGGCGGGGUGGGGUCUGCCUGCCACCGGGCAAGAUCCCUGGAGCACCUCACCAGGACUUUUAUACCUUACAGUGUAACUUGUUAACUUUAUUUUACUGUGAUUAGUCCUUCAGGAAUGCUACCUCUCAGGUAAGUUAAGAGUUAGUGCUCUGAUUGAUAACUUUUUACUGUGUUGAUUUCUUUAAUGGCUUAAUUUCUUUUCUCCCUAAGUGUGGGGGGUGGGUGGGAAUACAGGACACCCAUUCAGUCUCAGUCAGGACAAAUCACUAUGCAAUCCCCACAAGGCUCUCAGAUGAGACUCACCAGCCUUCGCUCAGAAUGCGUGGAGAGGACACAGGGGUCCUGCCAGUCCUGGCAUCUGUGGACAGGAGCCUGGAAAGGGCAGGUGGAGAGAGGAGUGGGAAGGAGGCUGGAGGCAACUCAUCACAGGGUGAUGGCGUUUGCUAACAGAGCUCAGAUGCCAGAGCAGUGGGGGGUCCCCUGGGGGCUGGUGAAGCGCUUUGCCAGAAAUGCAGCAGAGCUGGCAGGUCCCUGUGCUUUUCACUGAGGAGCAGUUGUUGGGUUUUUCCUUCUUCCUUCCUCCUGGCCUCCACUGCAUGGGAGGCCGCCCCUUCCACCACAUGUGGGCCUUCUCGAGACGGGCUCUGCACACCCCAGUUCCUUUCACAGACAUUCCUGCUAGAAACUCCCAAAUUUCUCUCUAGUGUGGAUGCUACUCACUUUCUCCCCUUGCCUCUGGGUGGGGAAGCUGUCCUUAAGUUUUGUUACUCGGACAGCGACAGAGGACCCAAGAGGGCAAGUGGAAGUGGCACCCCUGAUUGUUCCUGCCAGCUUCACCCAGCCACAGGUUGCCUUGCUGGGAGGGAGGGAAAGAUGUCCAGUUUGGUCCUAGGAUCUCUAUCUCCUGCCCAGGGUUCAUCAACAUCAGCAGUGGGUGGGUGGCAAUCACAUCCUCUGUGAUCUCAAAGAGAAGAAAUACAGAAAGCCCAAGAGAGAUCAGACUGGCCCUAGACUACCAUAGCCCCAGGAAGAAAGAGCUGGAGUCAUGGCAUGCACACAACCGGACGCGCGAGAUGAACAGGCAGGGUCGGGUAUUCAAUGGCAGGAUGCACCCCUCAGAACUGAGGCUGGGCUAGUGUAAUGUUUUGCAGUUAUGAAAAAGUCAAGAAUCUAUGGGACUCAGCACGCAAAGGUUAUCCACUAGCCAGGAUCCAGUGCACGUCACUGGCUGGGGCCUUGGUGGGUGGCAGCCCUUCUUCCUACGGUUUGGCUCCGUACCCUGGUUUCCCAGCCAGACGAGGUCUCUUCUCCAGCCUCCACCUGCCUGUCUGCUCCCAGGGCUGAGUCAUGGCCACCCAGCUCCUAGUCACUCCUCUCUUCAUCUUUAAGUAACAUAUAAAUUGGGACCAGGAGGUUAUAACUUUUGAUGUGUUCAGGAUUCAUACUUUUGGCAGGUGGGAGUGGAGAGUGGGCUGGUCUUGGGGUUCUGGAUGGGGUAAAGACAGCUUCUCUGAGACAGGAGCCAUGGUGCUGGUGGAAUAUGAGAGAGGCGCACAUUUGAGCAAAACUGCCCUUCCCUAGUCCUCUGGCCGGUCUUCCUGGUAAGGAGUCCUCCCCGGGAACCCCAAAGUGCAGAUUCCAGAGCAAACACGCUCCUGUAGACAGAUGCUCACCAAACAAGUGCUCAAGUCACCCAGUGGGACCUGGAGUGUCACGUGUUUCUGAUGUGGGUGGGGUGGGUACGUUUGUUUAUGCAAUUUUUAGUUUUUGUUAAUAUCAGCAGCAACAGUCCAGUGCUUUGGGAGAUGUGUGGCCUCCCUGAAAGUCUUGUCUCUGGAGUGCUUCAGGGGCAUCCUCUGGCUCUGGAGCCUUUGCUGCGGUGUCUGCUCCCCCGGCCACCCCCCACCUCAUCUGUCUGUUUGCAGAGCCUUGUUCACAGGUCCUCAAACUGCCUUCUUGGCUCACCCGGUGCUUGGCAGUUUCAUCAUUUGGCCGAGUCUACACUGGGUGGAAGUCUCCAUGCAUAGAGUAGAUGUUCCUCCAAGCCCCUUGCCUGUCCUGCAGAAUGGUCCCCAUACCUCCCAGAGGGCCACAUCCGGUGAUGCCAGUGAAGGAUGCUGGCUGGCUGUGUGGGAGAGGCAGUGACCCAACCUGGGGAGAAGGAGGCCCUCCAGAGGAGGUAUGUUAAUGCUAAGAGGUGAAGACAGGAUGUGUUAGUUAACCUGGCAAGGAGUGGAAGGAGAUGUGUCCUGUGGAUGGAUGUGGUCCACAGAGGGUGAAGGGGGAUUGUCUGGAGACACCGCCAGAUCACAGCCUUGAAAACCUGGUCAAGGAGCUUGAAGUUUAGGCUGAGAGCAAUGGGAGCCAUGGAAAGGCUUUCAGCCCAAACGUGAUGGGCUCAGAUCCGGCCUUUAGAAAGCUGGCCGCAGCUACAGUGUGAAGAGUGGUCAGAGGGACAGGGGAGGCUGCAGGGAGAUCAGGCACAGGCACUGCAGUGAUUUAGGUGAGAGAUGAUAGAGCCGCAGGGAAGGGCGGGGGGUGGAGACAAAGCCAGCAGAUCUGAGAGAUGCACAGCCUCUGUGGUUAACUAGAUUUAUUGGUGGGAGAGGGAGCAUUUUUGCCAUUCAUCCAGCAUAAACGGGAAGAUGACUUAUUGUUUGUACCAAAUGGAUGGAUGAACGGAUUUUCUGGGCUCAGGGCUCCUGUACAGGAGAGGACAGAGACCAGCAUGGUGUAAUUAAACCUCUUCUUUUGUGUGUAUUGAGCUUCAUAGCUUGCAAAACAUUAAUGAGUUUCCUCCAGACCAAAACUACCUUAUCAGCCAUCACCACCCUUGAACUUUCACCGUUAGGCAUGUACUGUGGCGUGGAUGGAAAGGGCACUGGUUUGGGAGUUGGAGAACCUGGGUUAAAUUCCCACUCUGCCUUUGGUGUCCAUGUGAACCUUGGGCAGUCAUUGAACUUGUCUUGGUUUUGUCAUCCGCAAAAUGAGAAUAAUGCCUAUUUUACAGAAUUGCCGUGGGGAUUAAAUAAAAGCAUGUGUAUAGAGGCAUCCAGCUUGUUCCUAGACCAGGAUAGGAGCUUGGCAAGAAAUCAGUCGAACAUGAGUCCCUAAAAAAUUAAAAUCAGGUCCCCAAGGAAGAGCAUCCUCCAGGCCGAAAGCCGGGGAUACAGGAGAGUGGUGUGGGAAGGGGGUGGUCAGGGAAGGGCAGGUGGUGUAUCGAGGUGGGUGAGCUGCUGCCUGCAGCAGCUCAGGGAACAAGCUUCCCCAUGCCUCAGUUUGCUCUAGGUUAGCUCAGCAGCAGCACUCAAUAUUCCACAGAAGCAAGGGGGAAGCCAGAUUAAAUAAAUGUCAUUUUGGACUCAAAUAUAUUGGCAUUGGGAUGGUCCCUUCUUAAAGCAUUCAUCAAUUGGGUGGCUAUUGAUUUAGCAUCUUGCUUUUGCUGAGUUUAAUGGCAGCCAUGAGACAGCCUAUUGUCUCCUCAAGCUAACAGAAAGAGUGACAACACUCCACACUGCACACUUGAGCCAAGCUUUCCUGAUUGAUGCUACUGUUUGGAACUUCCCCUUUGUGGCUCCAGAGACUAUCAGAUAGCUGAGAGCCAGCAGGGACAGACCUGGACACUGCCUAGUUUCCCUUGGCCCAGGAGAGGAGAGAGGUGAACUGGUAGAGGAAGGCUGCACAGUGGCCUGUGGUUAGUACCUGUUGCUUAGAAAUUUUUCUUCUGGUUACUGAGUUCUGGAACUUACCCAUGUCCAAGAUCCAGAGUAGGGCCAGUCCAACCAGUGGGCAAAUUUCUGGAAUCCCAAGACAGAUGGUCCCGUAUUUAUGAUGGUUCAAAUUAUGAUUUUUCAACUUUAUGAUGGUGUGAAAACCAUAUACAUUCAGUAGAAACCGUACUUUCAGUACCCAUACAAAAACCAUUUCUGUUUUUCACUUUCAAACUAGUAUUUAAUAAAUUACAUGAGACAUUCAACACUUUGUUAUAAAAUAGGCUUUGUGUUAGAUGACUUUGCUGAAACGUAGGCUAAUGUUCUGAGCACGUUCAAGGUAGGCCAGGCUAAGCUAUGAUGUUUGGUAGGUUAGGUGUAUUUAACCUGCAUUUUUGACUUUUCUUU